UACGAGGGGGGCAAGCGUUGUUCGGAAUUAUUGGGCGUAAAGGGCGCGUAGGCGGGUGCUCAAGUCCGGGGUGAAAUCCUCCAGCUCAACUGGAGAACUGCCUCGGAUACUGGGUGCCUCGAGGGUGGUAGGGGUAUGCGGAACUAUCGGUGGAGCGGUGAAAUGCGCAGAUAUCAGGAAGAACACCCGUGGCGAAGGCAGCCCCCCCUGGGCUAACACUGACGCUCAUGCACGAAAGCGUGGGGAGCAAACAGG
rnacentral:rRNA from 1 species